UACGAAGGGGGCUAGCGUUGCUCGGAAUUACUGGGCGUAAAGUGCACGUAGGCGGCUCUUUAAGUCGGGGGUGAAAUCCUGGAGCUCAACUCCAGAACUGCCUUCGAUACUGAAGAGCUUGAGUCCGGGAGAGGUGAGUGGAACUGCGAGUGUAGAGGUGAAAUUCGUAGAUAUUCGCAAGAACACCAGUGGCGAAGGCGGCUCACUGGCCCGGUACUGACGCUGAGGUGCGAAAGCGUGGGGAGCAAACAGG
rnacentral:rRNA from 1 species